rnacentral:rRNA from 1 species
GACGAACGCUGGCGGCGUGCUUAACACAUGCAAGUCGAACGGUAAGGCCCUUUCGGGGGUACACGAGUGGCGAACGGGUGAGUAACACGUGGGUAAUCUGCCCUGCACUCUGGGAUAAGCCUGGGAAACUGGGUCUAAUACCGGAUAUGAGCCUUCAUCGCAUGGUGGGGGUUGGAAAGUUUUUUCGGUGCAGGAUGUGCCCGCGGCCUAUCAGCUUGUUGGUGGGGUAAUGGCCUACCAAGGCGACGACGGGUAGCCGGCCUGAGAGGGUGAUCGGCCACACUGGGACUGAGACACGGCCCAGACUCCUACGGGAGGCAGCAGUGGGGAAUAUUGCACAAUGGGCGGAAGCCUGAUGCAGCGACGCCGCGUGGGGGGAUGACGGUCUUCGGAUUGUAAACCCCUUUCAGUAGGGACGAAGCGCAAGUGACGGUACCUGCAGAAGAAGCACCGGCCAACUACGUGCCAGCAGCCGCGGUAAU